CUUGAUAUAAAUAUAAGAGGUCCAGCCUGCCCAGUGACUCUGUUCAACGGCCGCGGUAUCCUAACCGUGCGAAGGUAGCGUAAUCACUUGUUCUUUAAAUGAGGACUAGUAUGAAUGGCACCACGAAGGUUAUACUGUCUCCUCUUUCCAAUCAGUGAAACUAAUCUCCCCGUGAAGAAGCGAGGAUAGACCUAUAAGACGAGAAGACCCUAUGGAGCUUUAAACCAAGUAACACUUGCAUCAACUUUAUUUAAAUUUCAGAAAAACCUCGCCCACCCAUGCAAGAUUAUUACUAGUUUUAGGUUGGGGUGACCGCGGAGCAAAAGACAACCUCCACAUUGAAAGGAACCCACUCCUCAGCCAAGAGUUACACCUCUACGCACCAUUAUAAUGACAUUAAUUGACCCAAUAUUUUUGAUCAACGAAC
rnacentral:rRNA from 1 species